GACGUAGGGCGCAAGCGUUGUCCGGAUUUAUUGGGCGUAAAGAGCUCGUAGGCGGCUUGUUGCGUCGUCCGUGAAAACCCGCAGCUCAACUGCGGGCUUGCGGACGAUACGGGCAGGCUGGAGUUCGGUAGGGGAGACUGGAAUUCCUGGUGUAGCGGUGAAAUGCGCAGAUAUCGGGAAGAACACCCGUGGCGAAGGCGGCACUCUGGGACGGUACUGACGCUGAGACGCGAAAGCGUGGGGAGCGAACAGG
rnacentral:rRNA from 1 species